AUGAAUGGCUCUGGGCCCGUCCCCGUGGCGGACCCUGCGUUCAACUCCAUGUGUGAAUAUAUAUGUAUCCCAAUGUGCAACCCAAACUGCAGCGCAGGGGGCCAGCCUGUGUACGACUUCGUGUACCUCCCUGCAGGCCAUCCCUUAUGCAACUCCAUCUGCAACCAAGGCUUCAAUCCAAGCGUCAAUCCUGGUUUCAACCUGGGAUGCGAUCCUGGCUUCCGUGUCGUAUGCGAGACCGUGCCUCCCGCUACGUGCGCAACGAUGCCUCCGACCGUGUACGGCUCCAUGCCUGCCCCAACGUCCAACCCCGUGUGCCCCCCUAUGCCUCACGUGAUGUUCGAGACCGGUCCUGCUCCUGCGCACCAGCCCGGAGGCGGAGGGGGGCCGAUGUCCUACUCUGUCUCUGUCCCCGCGAAUAACGCGGUGAGUGCCCUGCUGACCCACUUCAUGGCUGGCUCCGGUCCCACUGCGGCAACCCAGGUGGUCCCUACCCAUAUGGCUGCUCCACCAUCCCAUCCGGUGUGCUCUCCGGUAGCUCAGGCCGUCGGCGGUCCCGUGCCGCCGCCAGCUCCCCUUUCGGUGCCUGCCGCCCCCAUCUCGCACAUCGUCUGCGGCUCCGCGCCCUCUCCCACCGCCCAGCCUCCGUGCGGCCCGACGGCCACCCUGCCCUGCCAACCCCCGAGUGCCCCAGUAGCCCGCGGCGUCUGUUCCCCAGGCCCCUGCCCAGCGGCUUCCCCGGUGCCGCGCUCCGCCACCCGUAGCGCCACCCCGGCAGGGCUGCAGGCGGGGAGCACCCCGCCGGCCCACUCGCUGUGCUCCCCGGGCCCCCGCCCCGUGGGACCCCCGGCAGCCCACUCGCUGUGCUCUCCGGCCCCCCGGCCGGUGGGACCCCCCGCGGCCCACUCGUUGUGCUCCCCCGCCUCCAUCUCUUUGGGGACUGCGGGGGCCCGCACCGCCAGCUCGCCCGCCCCUCGCCCCGAGGACUCUUCGGCAGCCUGCGUCCCCUGC
rnacentral:lncRNA from 1 species